AGAAAAGGCAGAGGGAGAAGCAGGCUCCAGGCAGGGAGCCCGACGCGGGACUCGAUCCCUGGUCUCUAGGAUCAUACCCCGGGCUGAAGGUGGCGCCAGACCGCUGAGCCAUCAGGGCUGCCCUCCAGCCGGACUCUUUUUUUUUUUUUUUUUUUUUUUUUUUUAAUUUUAUUUAUGAUAGUCACAGAGAGAGAGAGAGAGAGGCAGAGACACAGGCAGAGGGAGAAGCAGGCUCCAUGCACUGGGAGCCCGACGUGGGAUUCGAUCCCGGGUCUCCAGGAUCGCGCCCUGGGCCAAAGGCAGGCGCCAAUCCGCUGCGCCACCCAGGGAUCCCCAGCCGGACUCUUUAACAAGGAGUUUGAGAUGGGGAGCCUCUGGCACCUGGGGCACCCUGGACCCACCUGCCGCCCCGUGUUUCUCAUCCCUGGACCCACCUGCCGCCCCGUGGGCCCCCGGAGAGCCUAGAUAGGGCUUCCUUUAAAGCAGCGGUCGUGGCGGCGGGGCUGGAGGUCUGACUGCAUCGCUCCCUAGUUUCCCCUAAUGGCUUAGUGCGUCCCAGCCCACCGUGCCUGCCCCCCACCUGCACCUGCACUUACUCUCGCCACACACCCUAAACCUCAUGGUGUGUCCUGUUUGCCUCCACCCCGACUCCUCCCCACCGGGCCCCAACCCUGGCACUCAGCUGCCCUCAUGGGGUUCAAAACAGGGGAGCAUUUUCUGGUGGUGGGAUUGGGGUGGAGGAGCCAGCAUGCCCAUCGCAGGGACUGGUGAUUGGCCUGGGUGGAGAGAGAGAGCAACAUGCCCAGGCAGUUCUCCAGAAGGAAGGCUGGAGGAAGAGGCAGGAUGGUCUCCUGAGAUGAAUUCAGGAUAGCUCACAGCUCAGGCAGGAGGAACAACCGGCCCUGAGGAUGUGUGUGAGUACCUGAGUGUUGUGUUAUGUGUAUUUCUUUUUUUUCUAAAACCUGUGUGAACUGCACUAACGUGACUAAGCCCUAGCUCUUUCUGGACAGCAGUGCUCAGGAUGGGUAGCCUUAGGGCCAGCUGUAGCCUGUGUAUUCACUAGCGUGGCUUGGCUUCUGGGAGUAGGGGCUGCGUUUUUCUCCUGGGACCAGCUUGUGCUGUGAAGAAAGAAGAAAUGGGCUAUGGUGGGUGGUGGAAGGCGGAUAGUGAAAGGACAGCACUGACUAUUACCAAGCAGACUCCCAUUUACUUCCUCUGCUGGCCGGACACAUUUUGUUUUCUGGUUUGAGAAUAUAACUGUGUUCUGGGUGGCUGCAGCCUUUGACCUUGCCAGAUAUAAGCCUGGUUGGAGCCCCUGGGGCUUGUGCUGGUUUCCUGGGGCUUUGACACCCCUCCCCGCCCCCAGGGCUCUGGGCAUCCUGGAAGGUGAAGGACUCCCAGGACUCACAGAUGAGUUUCUCUCCCCGAAUGGGCUUUGGAUGUUCCCAUCCUUGAACUUCUGUCGGGACAGAACCUGUCCCUCAGUCCUGCUGGGUCCCUGAGACAGCUACGGUUACAAUAUGACUCUGUUGGGUCGGGAGCAGUUGUGAAGAUUUGUGUUUGCUUGAUAGGUGGUCUGAGCCAUAGUCUGUACUGAAGAGUUUGGGUAGAGGUUCCAGAAUGUCUGGUUGGCCAGUUGUCCAUUGGUGCUGUCCUGUACUUAGCUCCUUGCCGGGUUAAGAGGUCAUCUCAUUAAUGUGUUUGUGGCAAAAUUGCUUUGGUGUGGUCUCUUGAGACUGAGCACAAGUGGAAGAAGGUGGGAGGGUGAGGAUAGGAGGGUAUUGCAACCUGUUUAGAGGUGACAAAAGUGGUCUGAAUGGGCAAGUGGAUGUCUUAGAUUAACAUUCAUUGUUUGAAAGGGAUUGAGGGGGUCCUGAGGUUUAUAGGCAAAUAAUUAUUAUUAUAAAUACCUAUACAUAUAAAUUAUAUAAUCUUAAAUAUAAAACCUAGGCUGUCAUAAAGUAUAUAUGUAUAAAAGUAGGUCUAUAUAAAAAAGUAAACAAACAUGUAAAGAAUAAAAAAUGGAAAACUGCCCAAUCUGAAAAAUAGAGAAAAAAAAACAAAAAAA
rnacentral:lncRNA from 1 species